rnacentral:lncRNA from 1 species
GGAAAUAGAGAGAGACAAGAGAAUCAAUAGUUAAGGUUUUGGCUCUUAAGGUCAACUUGUGAAUUAUAUUUUGUUUUUGUAAGGAAACCGUGAAUAAAGAGAGAGAGUUUUGAUAUUGAUUUCAUUCUAAGUUUAAGCCCUAAGAAAAGGUUUAAAACCUAACAAGUGGUAUCAGAGUAAUCCAAGUUUGAUUGCAAGUGCUAGGAGGAGAUAUGUAAUCGAUAUCGGGAAAGUUGGAAGUUGAGAGGUUUGAUGGAAAAUGUGACUUUGGGUUAUGGAAGUACAAGACGCUAAUACAGUUGGAGCUUCUACAGUUAAAUUAUAUGAUUCAUGAAGUUUCGAUCACGCCUUCUGAUACAUGAAAAGAUAAAGACGAAGAACUGCUGGAAGUCAAAGUACAUCCGCUGCAGGAAAAAAAGGCAAAGAAUCUAAUAUGCAUGAGCCUAGGAAAUUUGGUUUUGCAUAAGAUAAUGAAGGAAACAACUGCGAUAGGAGUUUGGAAGGUUCUGGAAAGAGAUUACCAAAC